AGGGGCAUAGCUCAGUGGUAGAGCAUGUGCUUAGCAUGCACGUGGUCCUGCGUUCAAUCCCCAGUACUUCCA
rnacentral:tRNA from 1 species